GUGCUCGCUUUGGCAGCACAUAUGCUAAAAUUGGAACAAUACAGAAAAGAUUAGCAUGGCCCCUGCGCAAGAAUGACAUGCAAAGUCAUGAAGCAUUCCAUUUUUUU